rfam:Anoxybacillus amylolyticus strain DSM 15939, complete genome.
AUAAAAAAACCCCUGCAGUUGUCUGCAGGGACCUUUGAUGCUUAUUCGUUCCCGCGCAUCGAAAGGAACGUCUAAGCCAAAGGAAAAGGGAGAGGAGAAACCGGAGGAAGAACUUAUGGGGAACGUAAGUCUUCUCCGCGG